rnacentral:rRNA from 1 species
UACGGAGGGUGCAAGCGUUAAUCGGAAUUACUGGGCGUAAAGCGUGCGCAGGCGGUGAUGUAAGACAGGUGUGAAAGCCCCGGGCUCAACCUGGGAAUUGCGAUGAAGACUGCAAGGCUAGAGUGUGUCAGAGGGGGGUAGAAUUCCACGUGUAGCAGUGAAAUGCGUAGAUAUGUGGAGGAACACCGAUGGCGAAGGCAGCCCCCUGGGAUAACACUGACGCUCAUGCACGAAAGCGUGGGGAGCAACAGG